AUUGAACGCUGGCGGCAGGCCUAACACAUGCAAGUCGAGCGGUAGAGAGGAGCUUGCUUCUCUUGAGAGCGGCGGACGGGUGAGUAAUGCCUAGGAAUCUGCCUAGUGGUGGGGGAUAACGUUCGGAAACGGACGCUAAUACCGCAUACGUCCUACGGGAGAAAGCGGGGGAUCUUCGGACCUCGCGCCAUUAGAUGAGCCUAGGUCGGAUUAGCUAGUUGGUGAGGUAAUGGCUCACCAAGGCGACGAUCCGUAACUGGUCUGAGAGGAUGAUCAGUCACACUGGAACUGAGACACGGUCCAGACUCCUACGGGAGGCAGCAGUGGGGAAUAUUGGACAAUGGGCGAAAGCCUGAUCCAGCCAUGCCGCGUGUGUGAAGAAGGUCUUCGGAUUGUAAAGCACUUUAAGUUGGGAGGAAGGGUCGUAACCUAAUACGUUACGGCUUUGACGUUACCGACAGAAUAAGCACCGGCUAACUUCGUGCCAGCCGCCGCCGUAAGAC
rnacentral:rRNA from 1 species